UUCUUUUCUUCACCGACAUGGGCUCCCCUGAUUCUUUACUGUCGAUUUGCGUUUCUGCUCUUCACCAUCGACUUGCUUCCUAGAUCUUUGCCAUCGGCUUCCUCUGUUCGCGUCGCUAUUUCGCAGCUGGGAGUGGGAGAUCACUGGAUUCGCUCCCUUGUUCGGCCGUUCUUUUCCUCUUCUCUGCUUCGUGGCCGACAGUGAUGCGUGGUGCGUCAUCUUGAACUUCUCUUCCUCCUCAGUUCUGGGCGUGAGAUAAUGUAAUUGACCCUGCACCUCCUGCUAAUCAUUAAGGGGCUCUUUUGUUUUUUGGACAGUGGAAGCAUACUUCAAUCAUUUGUUUUAAUGUAAAUAGUUAUUAUAUUAUACAAUGGUAGUUAGUGCUCUAUGUAUAUCGUAGUUAGGUUUUAGUCCUAUUUUUGUUGUCAUGUAAUCUGUUGGUGUGGAGUUAAGUUACUCUUCUAGAUUUGCUUAUAGGUUUAUUGAUUAUAGAAAUUUUGGAAUGUUCUAAUUACAGGGAAGAUUCUGCUGAAAUUUCUACUGAAUAUUUAAGACUUUAUGAACUUUAUAAUUAUAUAUAUAUAUAUAUUAUAUGAUUUA